rnacentral:rRNA from 1 species
GAUGAACGCUAGCGGCAGGCUUAAUACAUGCAAGUCGUGGGGCAGCAUGAAGUAGCAAUACUUUGAUGGCGACCGGCAAACGGGUGCGGAACACGUACACAACCUUCCUACAAGUGGGGAAUAGCCCAGAGAAAUUUGGAUUAAUACCCCGUAACAUAGCGAUGUGGCAUCACAUUGCUAUUAUAGCUUCGGCGCUUGUUGAUGGGUGUGCGUAUGAUUAGAUAGUUGGCGAGGUAACGGCUCACCAAGUCUACGAUCAUUAGCUGAUGGGAGAGCAUGAUCAGCCACACGGGCACUGAGACACGGGCCCGACUCCUACGGGAGGCAGCAGUAAGGAAUAUUGGUCAAUGGACGAAAGUCUGAACCAGCCAUGCCGCGUGAAGGAUUAAGGUCCUCUGGAUUGUAAACUUCUUUUAUAUGGGGCGAAAAAAGGUCUUUCUAGAUCACUUGACGGUACCAUAUGAAUAAGCACCGGCUAACUCCGUGCCAGCCGCCGCAGUAAGAC